rnacentral:rRNA from 1 species
GACAGAGAGGGCAAGCGUUGCUCGGAAUCACUGGGCGUAAAGGGCGCGUAGGCGGGAUGGCAAGUCGGUCGUGAAAUCCUUCGGCUCAACCGAAGAACGUCGGCCGAUACUGCCGUUCUUGAGGGAUGCAGAGGAGAUUGGAAUUCCCGGUGUAGCGGUGAAAUGUGUAGAGAUCGGGAGGAACACCGGUGGCGAAGGCGGGUCUCUGGGCAUCUCCUGACGCUGAGGCGCGAAAGCUAGGGGAGCAAACGGG